rnacentral:lncRNA from 1 species
GGACAAUUGUAUUAUAUGUGUCUGAUGCUCCUUCUAUAAGUGCCAUUAUAGCUGCAUAUUUCCCUUCUGUAGACGGUGCUAAGCAGCCUGCUGCAGACGGGAAGAAACCUGCAGAACACUGACGAAAUGCUUCUCAUUAAGGCGUACUUCAAUUUAUCGCUGAGCAGCCUGAGGCCAGUGCUCAAAGAAGCUCACAAUCACACCAUCAGACUCAUCCUUCAGUACUACGCCAGUGUCAAAGACACACUGCAGUUGCCCAAUGAGUACCUGUCCACCAUGGUGUCAGAGAUACUGCAGACCCACCUGGUAAAAGAUGUUACACUUUUCCCUGAGCUGGCUCCAAUGCUGACUAAAGCCAGCCCAGCUGACAUCCAAGCUUUGCCUUCCUCGCAGAACAACAUCAAUGUUCGGGACAAAAUUAAUGAAAUCUUAAAGAGCAUGACCCCGGACCAGCAGCAGGCCUUUGGAUUGUGGUACAGCAAAGCAUUGUCCCCCUCCAACAUCACCAGAGGUCAACAGUCGCUCAUCAGGGACACAGGAAACCUGAUCGCCUACCUGCCCUUCCAGAACUUCCAACACCUCUCAGCUGCUCAGCUGCUUGAUGGGCUGGAUGUGUUGCAGAGAAACACCCUCACUCCACUAAAGCAGGAAUUCGUAGCACAAAAGCUCAUCAGCACCUACAGGAACCUGACAGCUCAGGACUUUUCCAGGCUGGGUAGUAUCACAUGCCUGGCAGACCCAGCAGAUCUCUAUGUUUAUAAAGGCACCGAGGCCUUCAGGGUGAUCCGGGAGAGUAUUAUGAACUGCACACGCAAAGGGCUCCGUUUGCCAAGCGACCUGGUUUUCAAUAUUUUACUGAACACCACCGAGCUGCAGGUGCCGUCUGCAGUCCCUGCUGAGCGCCUGGCAGAGAUCGCGCUCCUCCUGCCCUCGCUGGGCGUGACUUUCCUGCAGGGUCUCUCUACAAAUCAGCUGCUUUCUGUCCUCCCCACCCUGAACUCUAUUCCAUUCAGUCCUGCACAGGUAGAGGAGUGA